UACGAAGGGGGCUAGCGUUGCUCGGAAUCACUGGGCGUAAAGAGCACGUAGGCGGAUUGCUAAGUCAGGGGUGAAAUCCUGGAGCUCAACUCCAGAACUGCCUUUGAUACUGGCAAUCUCGAGUCCGGGAGAGGUGAGUGGAACUGCGAGUGUAGAGGUGAAAUUCGUAGAUAUUCGCAAGAACACCAGUGGCGAAGGCGGCUCACUGGCCCGGUACUGACGCUGAGGCGCGAAAGCGUGGGGAGCAAACAGG
rnacentral:rRNA from 1 species